rnacentral:rRNA from 1 species
UACGUAGGUGGCGAGCGUUGUCCGGAUUUACUGGGCGUAAAGAGCGCGCAGGCGGCUGGUCAAGUCCGAUGUGAAAGCUCCCGGCUUAACUGGGAAAUUGCAUCGGAAACUGAUCGGCUGGAAGGUGGGAGAGGGUAGCGGAAUUCCCGGUGUAGUGGUGAAAUGCGCAGAUAUUAGGAGGAACACCGGUGGCGAAGGCGCUGCUCUGGGCCGAAACUGACGCUGAGGAGCGAAAGCGUGGGGAGCGAACAGG